rnacentral:rRNA from 1 species
UACGUAGGGACCAAGCGUUGUUCGGAUUUACUGGGCGUAAAGGGCGCGUAGGCGGCAAUUCAAGUCAUCUGUGAAAUCUCCGGGCUUAACCCGGAACGGUCAGAUGAUACUGCUUUGCUAGAGUGCGGAAGGGGCAAUCGGAAUUCUUGGUGUAGCGGUGAAAUGCGUAGAUAUCAAGAGGAACACCUGAGGUGAAGACGGGUCGCUGGGCCGACACUGACGCUGAUAGCGCGAAAGCCAGGGGAGCAAACGGG